rnacentral:tmRNA from 1 species
GGGGUCGACCGGUUUUGACAGCUUAUGUCGGUCGGUGGUAAGCACGUCGGGAGUUGUAGGCAUUUCCUGUUUAAAAAACCUUCGAAUUAUAACUGGCAAUACACAGUAUGCCAUGGCUGCUUAAUCUUAGAGAUUAAUCAAUUUGCCAUCGUUCAGCCUUCUCCAAACUCUGCCGAGGAGGGCAUCUGAGCGUCGACAUGCAGAGUCGAUAAGUUCGAAUUUCUCUACGAGCUUGUUAGUAUCCAGAGGAUAAGUUGAGAGUUUGGGUCUGAUGUGAACCCGCUUUUGAUCGAAAAAGAAUCACAGCUAAACGUGUAGAAAGCUAUUGUUCGCUAGGUUUGGACGAGGGUUCGAAUCCCUCCGACUCCACAA